rnacentral:rRNA from 1 species
AUUGAACGCUGGCGGCAGGCCUAACACAUGCAAGUCGAACGGUAACAGGAAGCAGCUUGCUGCUUUGCUGACGAGUGGCGGACGGGUGAGUAAUGUCUGGGAAACUGCCUGAUGGAGGGGGAUAACUACUGGAAACGGUAGCUAAUACCGCAUAACGUCGCAAGACCAAAGAGGGGGACCUUCGGGCCUCUUGCCAUCGGAUGUGCCCAGAUGGGAUUAGCUAGUAGGUGGGGUAACGGCUCACCUAGGCGACGAUCCCUAGCUGGUCUGAGAGGAUGACCAGCCACACUGGAACUGAGACACGGUCCAGACUCCUACGGGAGGCAGCAGUGGGGAAUAUUGCACAAUGGGCGCAAGCCUGAUGCAGCCAUGCCGCGUGUAUGAAGAAGGCCUUCGGGUUGUAAAGUACUUUCAGCGGGGAGGAAGGGAGUAAAGUUAAUACCUUUGCUCAUUGACGGUACCCGCAGAAGAAGCACCGGCUAACUCCG